CUGUGUGGCACGUUGGCAUCAACCGGCCUAGUUUCCACUAUGCUAGCUAACUAGCUGAAGAAGUUAGCCAGACAGCACCAGCAGUAGCCUUUCACGUUCAACUUGAAAUUGAGACGAUCUUCGAAAUACAUUACACACUGUAUAAAAAUGUACAUGCCUUCCUGCCUUCCACGAUGCUUCCUGCCUACGCCACGGCUGAGCUACAUCUUUCCAGCAGGUGGCGCGGGACUUCACUUUCUGGUGCCUACUAUCGCCUUCUUCGGAGGGGGAGUGCGCAGCAUGAGUCGGGAGCCCUGGCCUUAGCGCUUUCGCUGCUCUUGGACGGAAGGUGUCAAGUUCUAGCCAGAUAACGCCAGUGGAAUGAUAUGCCGGUCCAGCGCCAAGUCUCACGGCAGCUCCAUCUCCAGUCUGCUGUCUUUCUCUGGGCUUUCGUAAACUGAACCAAAAAGAAGAAGAAGUUUAAGGGCCAAUUCAUGGUGCAAGGGCCGGUUUUGCAUUUUCCAGCUGCUAGACCCUAGAACCCUUGUAAACCGUGUAAAACCAACACCCCCUCCUCCCAGAACAUGAACAUUUUAACAGAUUUUUAGAUAUGCCUUACACUUUUUGGGGGUCAAAAAGCCCAGCCACGUUUUCACUUCUUUUCCCUCAUCUGAUCUGUGAAAUGCUUUCAAAACCUGUCCAGGCCAUCAGAUCUACGCCCGUUUCGCGCUAAUUGGUCCCAGCGCUUCCUGCCGGAUGUUGCAGAAGCUCCAUUGGCAUUCACGUCACAGCUCCCUGUUCCUGCCAGCGCUGGCGGACGUCUGCUCCAGACGUGGCUCUCUUUAGAGGGCGGCAGGGGGCGGAAGCUUUGAAGAAACCUGCUGAUUGGAGGGAGCAGAACUGAAGCAGUGCAGGAAGAGAAGCAUCCUGGCUGGAAGAUGGAAGAGCAGGCAGGGGGAGCAGAAGUACACUGGCCAGGAAAGCAUCGAUUUUAAAUCUCAGGGCUUUGCAGUUUUGUGGAAUGCACAGUGUAAGGCCUCUUAAAAACAAUGUCUGCUGUGUCAUUGGAAAUCACCAGAAAAUCUUAAUAUGUCCAUGUUUAGAUAAAAUAUAUAGAAUGAAUAAAAAACCUUUCAGAUAGCAAGCACAUGUUGUUUGCCAGUGCAUUUCUUUGCAAUUGAUAGAUGCAAAGCCAAAACAUGAGGCACUGGAUCUGAGACACUUUUUGCAGCAGUUAACAUAAUUAUGAACCUUUUAAAUGUAUUUUGAUGC